AUGGCACCGCUGCCUGGGGAGGGGGUGAUGAGGCAAGGCUGCCAGAGGGCGUGGCCCAGGGUGAGAGUGGCAUUUGGCUUCAGCAUUAAGGCCAGCGUUGGGGAGGGCCCUGUGGGAAAGGCCAGCGCCCGCCAGGGGUAUCCCAUGCGGCAACCCCCAGGUCCCUCCUGCUGUCCUGCGGCCGUGGGUCCCUCUGUCCACGGGGCCGUGCUCACGGAGUCUCUGCCUCCAUGGUGCUGGCUUAAAGUGCUAGGUGCCUGGGAGGAUGCUCGGCCCCCUGCCCCUAGUCCUGCAGACAAUGCCCACGCCGUCCCCACCAGGCUCUUAUUUGAGGAUGUAGUUAAUGAGCAGCUGACACGCCAGGAACACGCAGAGCAGGAACCAAGAGCGAGGGCUGUGCAGGGGCCCAGGGCUGGGGCCUGCCUGGUGCGGGCCAUGGAGCUCAGCAUGGCCGAGAGGUGCCUGGAACGAGAGGGCGUGGCGGUUCAGCCUAGGCCAGCCAAGCAGCACGGUGAGCAGUCUGGCCUCGGUGAAAACGGAGCCGGGGGCUCGCGUGGGGAGGGCCCCAGGGCACAGUGGCUGCCUGGGGCUCCCUGGGCACACCCUCCAGGACGAGGGGUCAGGGCUAGUGGAGCUGGGGCUCUCACAUCCCCUCCCACCUCCACUGCUGUGGGCUGAACAGAGUCUGCAAAGUCCUGUGUUGGAGUCCUGACCCCAGCAGCCAGAACACAACUGUUUGGAGGUGUGACCCCUACAGAGGUAAAUAAAGUAAUGGGGUCACUAGGCUGGGCCUCAUCCCACAGGACUGGGGGUCCUUAAGAAGAGGAGGUCAGGACACAGACACACACAGAGGGACAACCCUGUGAGGACGCAGGGAGGAGACGGCCGUCGUCUGCACGCCUAGGAGAGCAGCCUCGGGAGGACCAGCCCUGCUCUGAUCUGGGAUUUCCAGCCUCCAAGCCGGGGAGGGGCAAAUGUCUGUAUCUGAAGCUGCGGUAUGGGGCUUGGUUGGCAGCCCAGGAAAGCUGCAGCCCUGUCCUGGCCUCUUGACAUCACUGUGUCUGGACCAAAAGCCAAGCUAUUGGCUGUUUUCCUCCACCUCCGCCACAGCAAAGCAGCAAAUCUCCUUCUAUGCUGCCCCAAGCCCCUCCAGGUUCCCACGGCCUCCAGGCCGGGCUCCUCCGUCUUGGCCUCUCACCUCAACUCCCUCCUCCUGGCAGCGGCCAUCCUGUGGUGCCCGCCACUCUGGACUGACCUCUGCAUUCCCCAUUUCCAGCUCCGCCUGCCCAAAUGCAUCCUCCUCCAGGAAGUGCUCCUGAUCAUGGAGACCACGUUCCUCCCCACUCUUACAAGGUGUCGAGUCUCCGCUUCCCUUGGCCCUGCACAGCAUCGCGAUGGAGCUGGUACCGAACGGUGAGAAACACCUCUGGGGCCCCUGGGUGAGUCGCAGGGGAGUAGGGCUGGCCUCGUUACAGACCUUCCUCCGGCCCCAGGGGCACUGCUGUCAACCCCAGUCCACACAUUGGGAGACUGAGGCCCAGACAGCCCAAGGUUUUGCAGUUCAGAGACUUGCAGCCUUGACUGGAGCCUGGCUCUGGGGCAGGGCUGGCGAGCAGGGCUCUGUCUCGCUGGGGCGAAACCGAACAUGUUCCCAGGCCUCCCAACGUGACUCGCUGUUUCUGAGGUCCUACUGGUCUUGGGGCUGGGGCCACUGCCGCCAGCACCUCCUUCCAGCUUCCAUCUAGCUCCGCCUCAUCAGCCCCGGCUGUCCUGCACUCUGACCCCGUGCCCCCAGCUGCUCCUUCGAGGGCGGCCCACCUGUGCAGCUCCUGCUGGGCCUCCCGAAUGGACAGGAUCGCCUCGUGCAGCACCUGCAGCCGCGCCUCCUUCCCACACCGAGGGCACGGGCUCUCGCAGCCUACAGGCGUCAGGAAGGAGUGGGGAGGGGUGAGGAUGGGCGGGUGGGGCCUGGGGCCACGGCCCGCCUCCUUGCAGCCACUGCCACAAGAGGAAGGUGGUGCCCACCCGGAGGGAACUCCCAGGCUCAGCCAGCCUCUGAUAAGUCCAGGGGGUCAAACGGGAGACAGGCAGUCCCUGAAGACAGGGGACCAGGAAGCUGGAGCCCACCUGGAGAGUCACAGACAGGCAAGCCCGCCUCGCCGGGCGCCCGCCUCGCCGGGCGCCCGCCUCGCCGGGCGCCCGCCUCGCCGGGCGCCCGCCCGCCAAGGGCUGACUCAGAGCCCGGCCCUCCCCGCCCCGCCGGCUUCACUGGCCAGAGGGCCGCCCACAGGUCUCACCGGAACAAUGUCCCGUCCUCCUCCUCCUCCUCGUCAGAGAGCUCGGGGCAGGACUCGGGCGUGGAGCCGCUGCUCUCGGUGACCUGGCUGUGGCCGGAAGGCUGGUCGCUGGGCUUAUGGAGCCGGGGUUGGGGUGGACCCUGGGGAGACAGAGCGGCUGAGCCGAGCCCACCCACACCCACCGCACCAGGGCCACCUGUGCCGUAGAAGAGGCGGCCGGCAGCGGCGGAGGCUGCUGGCUCUGGGCGGGUGACAGGCCUGGCCCUGACCUGACGCAGCACCCACCACCACCCCCGACCCCAAUACAGGGGAGACGACGGGUCGGGGCCGCGGACUCCGGAGCCGGCAGGGCUGACCUCUCAGCCGGCUGACGGCCGGGCUUCCCAGCGUGGACGCAGGGACCCCGGCUGGCCAGCCUCAGAGCAGCCUCCAGAGGACAGGGUGGCCUCGUGACGCAGGCCGUCCCGCGAGGCCAGGGGUGCCCGACACCCUGCAUGGGAGCCCUCGGCCCCGAUGAGUGUGGUCAGAGCCGGGCAGGGGCUUGCACACAGGCAGGUUUUGGGGUGUGGUGGGGCCGGCGCUGACCAGAGAGGCUGAGGAGAGGGAGGAGGGUGAAGAGGCCUGCCCAGGGGACUUGUAGGGAGGGACUGGGCUAUCCGCCCGGCUGAGGGGCUGCAUGUGGGGAAGGGCUGGGACACACAGCUCAGGAGGUACCUCGGUUCCCGUUUGCUGGGAAAUUGGGGCCACUGGGCAAAAUGGGGAGCCCACCCUCCCUGCCCAGGGGAGUGUCCCCAGUUGUAUGCACAGUGGGCGCCCAGUGGGUGCUGUUCCACACGUGGGGCCACCCUGGCUCCCCAGAAAUGGCACCUCUGCCAGAGUGCUCCUCCCUUGUGCUCCCCAGGGCCUCUUGCUGUCCUCCCACCUCACCCCCACCCCUGCCUCUCCCACCCUCCUCACCCACCCACAGAGGCCCAGGAGUCUGUGCAAAUGCCACCUCCUCCUUCUCCUGCUACUUGGGCAAGCCCAUGGGCUGCCUGAGGCUCAGUGUUUCAUCUGUACAAUGGGAUACCGCCUGGCCGACACCACGGAGGGCGGUUCUGGGGAGCGAUGGGGCAGGGCCAGUGCACCCCAGCACAGUGCCCUGAACAUCGGGUGUCCCAGGAACUGCGUGUCCUGCAAGUCCAGGGUCUUGGCCCUUGCUGGGUGGGAAACAGGGACCCAGGGGACACCAGGAGACCCUGCUGGGAUGUGUGUGGGUCAGAGUGUGAUGGGGACCCAGAAGAGGAGGGCCAGGUUAGCUGGGUGAGGUGGGGCGGAGGAGCCCAGGCCGGGCCGGGGUGGUUCUGACCUGGUGCCUGGGCCCCGGCUGCCCAGGAAGGCGGUCUGGCCAGCCAUGGUCUCCCGCUGCAGGGUGUGCAGGACCCCAUCUUGCUCAAACUGGGCGAUGUCCUUCAGGGGUCCCAGGGCUGUGGCUGGGGGCGUCAGAGUGUGGGUUGGCAGGGCGGUGGCCCCACACUGAGGGCCCCUCCGGCCCAGCCCUCAGCCUCUCAUCAGGGAUGGAGCCCCAGAGUGACCACAGCCUGCCCCCACGAGCAGCCCCGUGGACCUCCCUCCCCAUCAGUCAGGGCCAGGACAGUGGGGUCUGCCAGCAGCCCGCGCAGCCCAGGCCCAGUCCGCUGGCACUCACUUCUCAUAUCGGUAGCGCCACUCCUGGGUGGCAGGGUCCAGGUGGAAGAGCUGGGGUGCCCAGGGCACCAGGCUCUGCUGGCGCCUGCCCGCUGCCGCUGCGCCUCCACCAGGAGACCCUGCUGGGAUGUGUGGGUCAGAGUGUGAUGGGGACCCAGAAGAGGAGGGCCAGGUUAGCUGGGUGAGGUGGGGCGGAGGAGCCCAGGCCGGGCCGGGGUGGUUCUGACCUGGUGCCUGGGCCCCGGCUGCCCAGGAAGGCGGUCUGGCCAGCCAUGGUCUCCCGCUGCAGGGUGUGCAGGACCCCAUCUUGCUCAAACUGGGCGAUGUCCUUCAGGGGUCCCAGGGCUGUGGCUGGGGGCGUCAGAGAGUGUGGGUUGGCAGGGCGGUGGCCCCACACUGAGGGGCCCCUCCGGCCCAGCCCUCAGCCUCUCAUCAGGGAUGGAGCCCCAGAGUGACCACAGCCUGCCCCCACGAGCAGCCCCGUGGACCUCCCUCCCCAUCAGUCAGGGCCAGGACAGUGGGGUCUGCCAGCAGCCCGCCAGCCCAGGCCCAGUCCGCUGGCACUCACUUCUCAUAUCGGUAGCGCCACUCCUGGGUGGCAGGGUCCAGGUGGAAGAGCUGGGGUGCCCAGGGCACCAGGCUCUGCUGGCGCUCUCGGGCCCGCUGCCGCUGCGCCUCCUCCAGGGAAAACUUCUCCUGUGUGGCUUUGUGCUGGUCACCCUCACUGAUGGCCCUGGUGACGUGCUGCCAGAGCCUGCAGUGGAGCACCUGCUCUGAGCCAAGGGGACCUGGGCAGCCUUGUCCCUUCAUACUAGAGGGGAGGCUCGAGCAACCUCCACUUGACUGCCUCCAGUGACAGGGAGCUUACUACAUAAUCAGGGUGCCCAUUUCUC
ensembl:lncRNA